rnacentral:tRNA from 1 species
GGACCUGUGGCUCAGUCUGGAUGUGUAAAACACAAGGCAAAUAGAGCGAUCCCCUCCUACGGGAUAGGUCGGGAGUUCAAAUCUCCUCUGGUCCG